UUGUUGGAGAGUUUGAUCCUGGCUCAGGACGAACGCUGGCGGCGUGCUUAACACAUGCAAGUCGAGCGGAAAGGCCCUUCGGGGUACUCGAGCGGCGAACGGGUGAGUAACACGUGAGCAACCUGCCCUAGGCUUUGGGAUAACCCUCGGAAACGGGGGCUAAUACCGAAUAGGACCACCGGUCGCAUGGUUGGUGGUGGAAAGUUUUUCGGCCUGGGAUGGGCUCGCGGCCUAUCAGCUUGUUGGUGGGGUGAUGGCCUACCAAGGCGACGACGGGUAGCCGGCCUGAGAGGGCGACCG
rnacentral:rRNA from 1 species